GUUGUUUUAUCAAUUUCUACAGCACGUAUAAAAAAUUGGAAUGAUACAGAAAAGAUUAGCAUGGCCCCUGUGCAACGUAUGUCUAUUUUUUUUUGUUUUUGUUUUUU